CAAACAAUGGGUAUUCUGUGUAUUGGUCAACAUGGUAAAAGACAAAUAGCUAACUCUUUUGCUCAUUGGACACACCAUUCUCAACUCUUCCAUCGAAACCAUGAUAAGGAACUUCAACCAUUGGUUUUGGAACAGAGCGCCCAGCAAAAUCUUCAGGAAAGCAUUCAAAGUCCGGGCCGAAGUUGAACUUCACAGUGCAAUUAGGUUGGUCAGGAAGUGUAUACAUUGAAGCAGCAGGAUAGUAACGACCACCAUAAAGAUCUUUGAAAGCAACACCUUGACAAACUCCAUUUUUG
rnacentral:misc_RNA from 1 species